rnacentral:lncRNA from 1 species
AAAAAAAAAAAAAAAAAAACCAAAAAAGAAAAAGAGUUCCCCAAUUCAUUGAGUUCUUAGCCCUGGAGCUCAAGCGAUUUUUAUUUAGAAAUUCUAAAAAAUAUCUCCCAAACUAAUUUUACUCAAUGUUUUCCACAUAUUAACUAAGGCUAAAAGCCUUUAGCAUCUAUAAAUCAUGCUUGAAUUCAAGAGGAUCAUUUCGUUUUUCUAUUCUGAAAAGUGCCUGUGUUACUUCUGAACGUUGGACCAGUAGGCGGUUAUGACCGUUAAACUGGAUCUCACUGGAUCCUUCACUGCUAAAGGACUCGCAUCGCAAGCGGGGGAGGCACGCCACGCGAGGCGGGGACUGAGAGCCAGCCCCCCUUCCCCCCGGGCUUAGGACCCCCAUCGCGGUUCCUAAGAUCCUUAGGACCCACCUGGAGGACUGUGGGUAUGGGGUGUCCAAGAAGAAAGCUCAGAUCUGCCCACGGCAGGAUCCCCAUCGCAAGGGGGGAAGACACCGCCCACGAGUCGGGGACUGAGAGCCAGCCCCUCUUCCCCCGCUGGCUUAGGACCCCCACCGCGGAUUCUAAGAUCCUUAGCACCCACCUGGAGGACUGGGGGUUUUAGGUGUCCAAGAAGAAAGCUCAGACCUGCCGACCGCAGGGGUCCGAACGCAGCCCGGGAUCAGGAAGAAAGCAGGUCGUUUGCAAUCUACCGGAGCCUAAGGGCAGAAGGCAGGUGAGAGAAUUCUUAGGAGCUGUGGGGUUUUGUAGACUGUGGAUCCCAAACUUUGCAGUAUUAGCCAAGCCUUUGUAUGAGGUCACAAAGGGGGCGGGGACCGGGAAGCUUUGGAAUGGGGAUCCCAACAACAGGAAGGCUUUCAGGAGUUAAAGGAAAAACUUCUGGCAGCCCCAGCCCUGGGGCUACCGGAUCUGACAAAGCCUUUUCCAUUGUAUGCGUCAGAGAGGGAAAAGAUGGCAGCUGGACUUUUAUCCCAAACUGUGGGGACCUGGCUGAGGCCGGUGGCCUAAGUCUCUAAACAAGUAGACAGGGUUUCUACAGGAUGGCCCCCCUGUUUGAGGGCCUUGGCAGCAACUACUCUGCUAGUACUAGAAGCAAAUAAGCUGACUCUUGGGCAAAACCUGAACAUAAAGGCCCCCCCAAACUGUGGUGACUGAGAGCCAGCCCCUCUUCCCCCCCUGGCUCUUAGGAUCCGCAGUGGACUCACAGCCUGUUUACCAUAUUGUGAGUAAUAUCAUCUCCCCCUCUGGAGACCUCUGGAGAUUAUGAACUGUUUCACAGACAGGUGUACACCCUUGGUGUACAGAGGGUGUACACCCGUCUGUAUUGGGAGUAAUAUCAUCCUCUUCCUCCCUGAAUAUUAAGAACAGUAUCACAGGGGUGUUUCUACUCCCUGCGAUAUCGCGUGUCAUAUCCUCCUCUCCCACGUUGCAAUUAGAAACAAUAUCAGUGGUGGCAUGUCCACCUUCUGUCAUAUUGAAAGUAAUAUCAUUUUCUUCCCUCCAGGAUCGUGGGAACAAUAUCCCAGGGGGGUUUCCACUUUCUGCCAUAUAUGUAGUCACAUCGCCCACUCCGCCUUGGAAUAUUAUUAAGGACCAUCUAACACGAGGGUGUAUACGUCCUGCGAUAUUACGAGUAAUAUCAACUUCUUGGCCUCUGAAUAUGAGGAAGAAUAUCACAGGGGGUCCGAAUGCAGCCCGGGAUCACAAAGAAAGCAGGUCGUUUGCAAUCUACCAGAGCCUAAGGGCAGAAGGCAGGAUCGUGGGAACAAUAUCCCAUGGGGGUGUACCCUUUCUGCCAUAUAUGUAGUCACAUCACCCACUCCGCCUUGGAAUAUUAUUAAGGACCAUCUAACACGAGGGUGUAUACGUCCUGUGAUAUUGGGAGUAAUAUCAACUUCUCGGCCUCUGAAUAUGAGGAAGAAUAUCACAGGGAUAUUAAUAACAAUUUCACAGGCUGGGUGAACACAGCCGGCGAUGCUGAAAUUAUUAUCAUCCUCUCCCCCUCUUCCCCUCCUGGCUCUCAGUCCCCGCCUCACGGGUUAUGUAGCGGGUUAUGGCAAGAAGACAAACUGCAGUUUCCUGCACAGAACAGCACAAACAAUGAUCCAAGCUCAGUUACAACACAAUAUUGGUCAUCAUUUGACCAUGGACUUCAAUAUCAACCCUUAGAAACCUUCCUAAAACAGGUCAGCAAAACACCAAGAAGCAAUAUCCUGAAUGAUAGGAAAAUAUCCUUGCUUGUGCAAAUUGUUUCCACUUAAUUUUUUUCAACAAAUGUUAAUUAUAUUUUUACUUUCUAAAAAUUUUUAAUAAAAUAUAG